UAACACGUAUGCAACCUGCCCUCUUCAGGGGGACAACCUUCCGAAAGGGAGGCUAAUCCCGCGUAUAUCGGUUUCGGGCAUCCGAGAUCGAGGAAAGAUUCAUCGGAAGAGGAUGGGCAUGCGGCGCAUUAGCUUGACGGCGGGGUAACGGCCCACCGUGGCGACGAUGCGUAGGGGUUCUGAGAGGAAGGUCCCCCACACUGGUACUGAGACACGGACCAGACUCCUACGGGAGGCAGCAGUGAGGAAUAUUGGUCAAUGGGAGAGAUCCUGAACCAGCCAAGCCGCGUGAGGGAAGACGGCCCUAUGGGUUGUAAACCUCUUUUGUCGGAGAACAAAACCCGGGACGUGUCCCGGACUGCGUGUAUCCGAAGAAAAAGCAUCGGCUAACUCCGUGCCAGCAGCCGCGGUAAUACGGAGGAUGCGAGCGUUAUCCGGAUUUAUUGGGUUUAAAGGGUGCGUAGGCGGUCCGUUAAGUCAGCGGUAAAAUUGCGGGGCUCAACCCCGUCGAGCCGUUGAAACUGGCAGACUUGAGUUGGCGAGAAGUACGCGGAAUGCGCGGUGUAGCGGUGAAAUGCAUAGAUAUCGCGCAGAACUCCGAUUGCGAAGGCAGCGUACCGGCGCCAGACUGACGCUGAGGCACGAAAGCGUGGGGAUCGAACAGGAUUAGAUACCCUGGUAGUCCACGCAGUAAACGAUGAAUGCUGGUUGU
rnacentral:rRNA from 1 species